rnacentral:rRNA from 1 species
UACAGAGGGUGCGAGCGUUAAUCGGAAUUACUGGGCGUAAAGGGCGCGUAGGCGGUUAUAUAAGGUAGAUGUGAAAUCCCUGGGCUUAACCUAGGAACUGCAUCUAAGACUGUAUAACUGGAGUGCAGUAGAGGGUAGUGGAAUUUCCGGUGUAGCGGUGAAAUGCGUAGAUAUCGGAAGGAACACCAGUGGCGAAGGCGGCUUCCUGGUCCAGCACCGACGUUCAGGCACGAAAGCGUGGGGAGCAAACAGG